CUAUUUGCAAAAAAUGUAGAAAGAUUGGAAGCUUCCUUGCAAUUACGAGUACACUGAAAGAGAACAUCCUAGAUUUGCACGAUGUGCGUUUAAAUUUCCGAUUAAAACCAUCGAAGAAGGCCAGAAAUGGGUGAACGAACUUGAAGAAUGUCAAAAAAUCGAUUUACGGAGAAUGUACUUGAAAAAAAUUCGGAAGAAGAGUGUUGUUUAUAAAGCAAAGUACCGUUGUCACCACAACACACAACCUAAAAAGAAGAUAAAAAAGCCUCAUGCUAAGCAUAUUUCUUGCCCUUGGAAAAUAUUGCUGUCAAUUGUAAAGAA